AUUGAACGCUGGCGGCAUGCUUUACACAUGCAAGUCGAACGGUAACAGGCCGCAAGGUGCUGACGAGUGGCGGACGGGUGAGUAAUGCAUCGGAACGUGCCCAGUCGUGGGGGAUAACUACUCGAAAGAGUAGCUAAUACCGCAUACGAUCUAUGGAUGAAAGCGGGGGACCGUAAGGCGUCGCGCGAUUGGAGGGGCUGAUGUCUGAUGAGGUAGUUGGUGGGGUAGAGGCUGACCAAGGCUAUGAUGGGUAGCCGGUCUGAGAGGGUGACCGGCCACAUUGGGACUGAGAUACGGCCCAGACUCCUACGGUAGGCAGCAGUGGGGAAUAUUGCACAAUGGGCGGAAGCCUGAUGCAGCAACGCCGCGUGCGGGAUGAAGGCCUUCGGGUUGUAAACCGCUUUCGCCUGUGACGAAGCGUGAGUGACGGUAAUGGGUAAAGAAGCACCGGCUAACUACGUG
rnacentral:rRNA from 1 species